rnacentral:rRNA from 1 species
CCUACGGGGGGCUGCAGUGGGGAAUAUUGGACAAUGGGGGGAACCCUGAUCCAGCCAUGCCGUGUGUGUGAAGAAGGCCCUCGGGUUGUAAAGCACUUUCAGUGAGGAAGAACGCCUGGUGGUUAAUACCCAUCAGGAAAGACAUCACUCACAGAAGAAGCACCGGCUAACUCCGUGCCAGCAGCCGCGGUAAUACGGAGGGUGCGAGCGUUAAUCGGAAUUACUGGGCGUAAAGCGCGCGUAGGUGGCUUGAUAAGCCGGUUGUGAAAGCCCCGGGCUCAACCUGGGAACGGCAUCCGGAACUGUCAAGCUAGAGUGCAGGAGAGGAAGGUAGAAUUCCCGGUGUAGCGGUGAAAUGCGUAGAGAUCGGGAGGAAUACCAGUGGCGAAGGCGGCCUUCUGGACUGACACUGACACUGAGGUGCGAAAGCGUGGGUAGCAAACAGGAUUAGAUACCCCUGUAGUC